CACAUACAUGUUUAACACAUAUACACAUUGUUGUAGAAAAGGAAAAGAAGAAAAAAAUACCAGAAAGGUAAUUAAUAGCAAAUACUUAAAAAAUUUUUUUUCAUUAAAUGUUCCUUAAAGAAUAUGUAUUACUUUGAACAGUUUUUUAAAAACUUUAUUGUUUGUUGUACCGGAAAGCUUUAUUGAAGUAUGAUUGACAACUUAAAAUUGUAUUUAAAGUGUACAACUUGGGAGUUCCCGUGGUGGCUCAGCAGAGACAAAUCCAACUAGUGUCCACGAGGGCACAGGUUCCAUCCCUGGUCUUGCUCAGUGGGUUAAGGAUCUGGCGUUGCUGUGAGCUGUGGUGUAGGUCACAGAUGCAACUUGGAUCCUCAGUUGCUGUGGCUGUGGCAUAGGCUGGCAGCUGUAGCUCAGAUUUGACCCCUAGCCUGGGAACCUCCAUAGGCCACAGGUGCGGCCCUAAAAAUAAAAUAAAAUAAAAUAAUAAAAAAGUGUACAACUUGAUAUACACAGAUAUCAUGAAAUAAUCAUCACAAUCAACAUAUCUGCCAACUCCCAUAGUUAAUAUGUUCUUUUCUUUUUGUGGCAAGAACACAUAAGAUCUAUUCUCUUAGCAAAUUAGAAUAUAAUACUGCUAACUAUAGUCACACUGUUGUACAUUGACCUCUAGAACUUGAAAUUCAACUUGCACAACUGAUAUCGUGUACCUCUUGACCAACAUCUUCCUAAUUCUCUUUCCCACAACUGGGGACGUUCUCAGGUUAGGAACUGAACCCAUACUGCUACGGUGACAACACUGGGUACUACUUAACCCACUGAGUCACAUAAGAAUGCCUCCCACAACUUUUAAAUUAAAUUGUGAAAAGAGAAAAUGAUUAUUUGUUCAAAAAAACAAAACAAAAACAAAAACACCCUGGCUGACUCGCUUCUACCAUUUUAUGUCUACUUCUAUUAUAUAAUAGGAGGCACAUCCUCAUGGAUACUAUGACGGUCUUAACCCACUGAGCCACAACAGGAGCACCAACAAUGUUGGUUUUGAAUCCAUCUCCUAAAGCAAAGGAAAUAAAAACAAAAAUAAAAAAAUGGGACCUAAUUAAACAUAAAAGCUUUUACACAGCAAAGGAGACUACUGACAAAACAAAAAAGAAAACCUACUGAAUGGAGAAAAUAUGUCCAAAUGACAUGGUUGAUAAGGGGUUAAGAUCCAACAACCCAAUUAAGAAACAGGCAGAAGAGCUGAGUAGACAUUUUUCCUAAGAGGAAGUGUAGACGGCAACGAGUCCAGGAAAAGAUGCUCAACAUUGCUAAUCCCUAGGGAAAUGCAAAUCAAAAAACCACAAUGAAAUAUCACUUCACUCCUGUCAGAAUGGCAAUAAUCAGAACAAACACAAAGAAAUUCUGGCAAGGAUGUGGAGGAAAGGGUACCUUUGUGCACUGUUAGUGGGAACAUAAAUUGGUGCAGCC
rnacentral:lncRNA from 1 species